rnacentral:rRNA from 1 species
UACAGAGGGUGCAAGCGUUAAUCGGAAUUACUGGGCGUAAAGCGUGCGUAGACGGUUAUGUAAGUCAGAUGUGAAAGCCCCGGGCUUAACCUGGGAAUGGCAUUUGAGACUGCAUAGCUAGGGUGCGGAAGAGGGAAGCGGAAGUUUCCGGUGUAGCGGUGAAAUGCGUAGAUAUCGGAAGGAACACCAGUGGCGAAGGCGGAUCUCC